CCUAAAUUCAUUGCCAGAUCCCCAGUCUGCUGCAAAUGUGCCACGUCAAGACUGGAAAUCACAGCACUUCAGUGUGUUUCAGUUUUGCACACUAGGGAAUAAGAAACGCUAAGGGACACUGUGAAAAAGGAGGACUGCAGAAUAAUGCGGGGAAGACAUUCUGGUAAGGCCUACUUUGGAAGAACACCUGGCCUAUGACCUGGCAAACCUAGGUGACUCCCCCCCCCUUCCUCCAGUCAUCACUGCAAGAAAGAUGGAGCUCUGAUGAUUUACUAAAACCUAUGCAAGAAAUGAGAGAGGUAUACUACCUAGACGUGUACUGCUUAGAGAAGUGUACAAGAGCAUAGUUGAAGUUCGGUCAUUUCCUUUUUUAUUUUUUUUUUUUUAAAUUUAAAAUAAAGUUUAUUUUUGCCCACAAACUAAAAAGGUAAAUUUAAUAUUUUUUUACUCGUAGCAAUCAGUAUAAAUAUCUAAGGAGUAUAUUGUUUUCUUUUAAUGCAGAAGAGGCUUGCUAGAAAUAUGUAUUCCGAAUAGCUCUUGUUAUGAACUAUUGAUCUGAAGAUCAAUUUUAAGAAAAUACUUGCUCUUAAAGUAAUAAAGUAAUAUAAAUGAAUGCAUGAAUAUUAUUUAAAAUUAUUGUAAAAUAUAUUAUGUCGCUGUUGGGAGAACUGUACUUUGAUUUUCUAUGCAACUGAAACUUCUUUGCAAGUAACCUAUGCUCUAUGUACUAAUGAAAACUGGGAGGGUUGCCAUAGGGAAUGUAUGACUACUCCGUGCUUGGCUUCUGCCAUGUAGCAUACAAAAUAUUUGAUUGUUAAGGAAAAAUUACCUCUGAAAGCGCAGGAUGUAAUGGGGAAAAGUAAUCCAAAUCAAUCAAUAAAUAAAACAGAACAAACAGCUUUCCACCCCAUACCUGCCUGGCUAUUGCUUGUAAGUGACCAACACCGAUUGAUUGUUGCCGCUGAUGAAUAGCUUGCUUUGCUGAUAUUUCUUCUAACAUUCUAACAUCUUCUAACAAAAUGAUAAGUUACUUUGUCCUAAAUCCCACUGAUAGAAAUGGAAUUUGUAAACGAAUGCAGAAGUUUGCUUUGGUGAAUUUCCAGCUGUCCUGGUAGGGGAAAAAAACCCUCAGGCUGAAUGAAAUCCCCACGGACAGAAUAAUACAAAAAGUCUGGGCUGCAAUCUGAUACCAGCUGAACUCCAGAGUCAGCUCCCCUAAAGUUAACACUAGUAACAAACUACUGCAACCAGAAAAAAAAAAAUCCCAUCUAUAUGGUGCUCAUUAUGGCCAGGAAGGCUUGCAAUAGCUGUACUAUAAAAAGAAUUAGCAGAAAUAUGCAGCCAUUAGUAUAAUAAGCAGGCAAUUAUGCAGAAUGCGUGUUAUAUUCCAAACAGCCUUGAUGCUGUACAAUUAAAAAAAAAUACGUAUAUUAUUAUUACCUUUCUCACUGCUCCUUCAAUAAUCAAUAGAAGUCCUUUUGGGAACGCGGCCAUGUAGCAUUAGUGUGACUGUGCCUAUACUGCUUGUCUUUCAGCCUGCAAAGCGACAGCUAGCACUGCCAUUUCCCUUACCCUCCCAAAAAAGCUUAUGCAUUUUGACUUAAAGAAUGAUUACUUCUUUUAAUUGCAGAUGUACUUCCAGGUUGCUCACCCUCUCUUCCCUUAUUUCACCAAAGAUUAUCUUCAGUGUUAAAUUAGUGAGUUUUAAUCCAUAUGUAGUCCGAAGGAAUUUUUACCCUCGUUCUACUUUAAAGUGAAAUUACAAGCAAGAUAAAUGUAGUCAUUAAUAGCAAAGCUGAAGAAAUAGGCACAAAUUAAAGGAAUGGCAUGAGAGUCAGGCUUGCUUUAAUAUUUCUCAAUCUUUAAGCUUGAUUGCUGUUUUAGGCAUAAAAAAAUCUGAGAAGUUUUAUGACUUUGUCACAGCGGUAGAAAAAUGGCUUUCAAAUUGCAUUAAGAAACUUGCUCUGUUACACUUUCAGGGGAAACGCUCACAAGUAUGUUUCCUAUCUAUUGCAUAUUUGCAUAUCCACUUUUUGUUUGUUUGAGAAUUCUGAUCUAGAAAUUAAGAAAGUAGCGUUAACAGGCCGUGUGCGAAACCCCGUUAGAGACAGCUGUUAGAGAUAGCUUACAUGAUUGUGGGCUAAAUAAGCAAAGAGCACCAAUACAUACAGAACGAGUAUUUCUCUUAUCUCUAGUCUGCCAUUUGCAUUAAUCUUUAUUUUAAAUGGCCUUUCUGGAUUUAGGAAGCGAUUCCCCUCCCAUACACCCAUGACUGCUCAAAGUUACAUUUUUAGCCUGCAGGGCUGAGAGCUAGGAGGCCCCUUGGCUUGGGGCUUGGGAAGGGGGGGCUGUGCACAAAGCAGCCGAUACGGGAAGAAAGCCUGUAUUGUUAGCGAUGAAUAAGGAAGUAUAUCUACUUCGACUCAGCAAUCAAAACAUUUCCAAAGUGAAUUAAGUGAUUCUCUGCUUCUUCAAACGGCUCUGUUUUAGCUAGGAAAAGUUCUAGCUGAUUAUAAUCAGAAAAGACUUCCAAAGUUAUAAAAUAGAGGUUUUAAAUAGGCAUGACAAUAAACACAAGGCAGCCGUAUACAAUUUUUUCAUGAGCAGAAAAAAUCAUUACUAUUUGCAAAGACUAUAUGUAUAUACAAGCAUAUAUAUAUAUGAGAGCAAGUUUCAAUACGUAAUUAAUCACAGAGAUCUGUGUGCAACCAGAGAGGUACCAAAGCUUAAAUCUGUAGUAGGAGUUAAAGGAUACAGCUCACGUUAUCAUACAAUGCUCAAAACUAAGAAAAGCAGAUGUGGACAGUUGAAGAGAUCAGGGAUUCAAUAUAAUGAACUUUUGUCUUUAUCUUUUAGUACAACCAAAAAAAAUUAAAUAGGGAAGAGGAAAAAGUAUUUAAAACUUUUUCUAUAUGUAUAUUUUUUUUAAGAAGAAAAAAAAAAAAGGAGAGUGGGAAGCCACUGAACCCUACAAAAUUACAGAGCAAGCGAGCAUCCAGGGGCAAAAAACCACUUUAACAAAUGGCAUUUGACAUUUCUCAGCCUUGUCUUUAAGUCGCUCGUUGCCUUCUGCACUACAGUCAGCAGCACUCUGUAAUGCGGCUGCAUGUCAGGAAGGAUGCAGCUCUGCUCCCCACGCUCCUUGCCCCCCUCCCUGCACCAUCACUGCAUGUCCACAGGCGCUGCUCAGACCACCCAGGUGCCAUCGCUGGGUGCAAAACAGGACGGCCCAAAGAGCCAAAUACUGGCAAACAGUUCCGAACUCAUCAAUAGAGAGUUAAGUGAUGAUUACCUUGACAUCAAAAGAUGCUGAGCAGGCUGGAAGAUGGAAAAAAAUGUAAAUCUUAGGCUGGGUAGGGUUGGGUUUUUUUUCCUCCUUCUUUGUCAUUAUUAUUUAUUUAGUUCUUAUCAAGGACGUAAGUCAACAACUACUUGCAGAAGGCUUUCCUUCCCAAACUGCACUUCAUUUUAACAAAAUCUAAUUAAAAUAAUGUUAAGGAUCAGGUUAAACCUAGAAAAGGACAGGAAAACUGUAGAGUUCAGAAUGAAACUUUCCUGAAUAAUGCUAUUGUGCUUCUGUGCUGCAUUUUAUGCUGCAUUGCAAAACGGUAUCUAAAAAUAACAGCCUUCCUCGAUCACAGCUGGAGAGAACAUAAUUCUCAAUUUGAUUUCCAAACUACCUAUAUUUAAAGCCAAAUCCUUCCUAUAUGUUCCUGUAAAAAUAACACUGGAAAUCAUAGCAUUUUGUUACGAAUACUGUAAAAUACUCUUAAGCCCUUUCCUGACCUAAUGAAUGAACCAGACAGAGCACACAGACGUUUAGCCCUUUUGUCAAGCCAACUAGAAUCCAACUUUUAAGAAUAUCUGCUUUUCAAUGAGAAUCAAGUGGAGGCAGAGCAGUACCACGAGCAAUCCCAAUUCUCUGAAGGCAAAAUGAAUGUGCCCCAGUUACAACAAGUACAGCCGUUUGCUGAUUGCUUGAUGAAUUCUCCUUAUGCACAGUUAUUAGAAAGACCGCACAGCCUUUCAUUUAUAACUCCUACUCACGAAUUCCCUGAUAGCUGCUAAUAGGAAACCUAUUAAUUACAAUGCAUGUUUUUGUUUUUCCAGUCUUUUUUAAAAACUAUUGUUUGCCAAUGAUUUUACCGUACAACUCUUCCAAAGAUCCACAGCACAGAAACUGAGACCUAAUUUUCUCCCAAACCACUGAUUUAUUUGACAACUCAACUCAGACGUUAUAUAUAAAACAAGCAGUUUGCUAUACGUGCUUUAAAAGUACUUUUCACUUGUCACUUUUUGCAUUAGAAUUACCAGGUGGGCAGGGAGGUGUGCUGUGCCAUAUUAGCGCCCAGACUUAUUUCUCGAGUUCUAAGUAAAAUUUUAAGCAAGUAUAUUAUAAAACUAAAGGGAGAACAUUUAAUGACUUGGAAUUAAUCUAUUGUGCCUAAAUUAGCUAGUCAUGCUUUAUGUUUGUUUAUGUUUUUAAGAUACAUUACUUCAUUUUGCUAGUUUUGAGGAAAAUAGAUAUAUUUUAUGUAAUCUAGGUCCUUAAUUUGUAUCAUUCUUGCAUAUUAGCUAAAGUGUCUUUAAUUUUAAAUCAAAAUAAUUAUUACUGCUAAAUCGACACACUAAUUACAUAUUAAUUUAUUAUUGGACUAUCCACACCAUCAGCCCUUUGGUAAAUGCACCCCUUUUGCAAUCAGCUCUCAGACCUGAGCUUCAGUGCUCCUCUUCUAAGUGGGAUAUACUUAGCACUGGUUUGAAGGCUUGCUGCUUACCUAUGGAGGCACUAGUGAGCAACAGGGAUAUAAGAACACCGUUACAAAACAGAAUUAUUCCAUCUGUAUAAAAAAGUGAUACAACUAUUUACCUCCUACUUCUUUUAUAUGUCUAUGUGUUUAUACUUUCUGAAACAAUGCCUCAACACAUAAAUGUCAUUGAAAAAUUGGAUUACAUUUACUGUGUGUAUUUUCUAUAUAGUGAAGCAUCACAUCUUGUAAUGUAAAUGAUACUACUUGCUUUUUUUUUUUUUAUAAUAUUGAUCUGAAAAACUGACUGAAGCUCAACAAAUUUGUUUUCUAACAAAUUAUGGAUUUUGAGAGAGAGCUAAAUUGAAAUAAUAUGCAAAGCAAAAUACUAAAGUGAUAUGAUCGUGGUAAUGGGACAGCUCGCACAUAUUGCCAUAAUGGAUAUAAAAUGCAACUGGUUUUCUUUCCAGUACAUCACCCUUAACUGGGUAAAUGUGCAAGUUGUUGUCUCCAUUUGUACAGGAAGAUUUUUAUUUAUUUUUAACAUGCAAGAUUAUUGUACUUAUCUGCUCCUAGAAAAUAUGUACUGUGUAAACAUAUCCUUUAUCUUGAACUUCAGUAUUUCUGUGCUUCCAAGAAGAGUCAAACCAUCUGGUUAUGUUACCACGUGUGAGUGCAAUAUGCAGGCAGACUCCUGCAUGAGUUGCAUAUAAAAUAAAUUACGGUAAUUACGGUUUCAAUUAUUUUUUUUUUAAAGACUGUUCCACGUGUUGAACUCGUAUCUGAUCCAUGUCAGCACAAUGCCAACUGAUGUACUGAAAUGCUUAUUUUACUGAAUAAAAUCAAAUUACGUUCUUGUCCUACAGCUCGCAAUGCUUUAAAGUUUAAUUCUGUUUUGUGUGCUCCCCCCAACAAAGUCCCCCAAAGCGGAUGGGUACAAAGCGAUCCCCACCAGCGGUGAUGGCUCCAAGGGACUGGCUGGACGGAGUUGUCAUGUGUCUGCCUGUCUACACUUGCUGUGCAGAACAUCCUCUCACCUGUACAGCAGGCACAGACAGGCAGUCACAUGACAACCCAGCCUGAGUGACAGCCGGCUCUGACACCCCAGAGCAUCUUCAGCAAGAGCUGCAGCCACGAGUCGCUCUGGAUCUCAGAUGGUCGGUCAGUAACCAAGCCGCGUCCUGCAACCCACCUAGAGUCAAACCAACAGUGCCUAUAAAAUACAAUAAAACCCACUGCUGAAAUUUUUA